AAAAGUCGUAACAAGGUUUCCGUAGGUGAACCUGCGGAAGGAUCAUUAUUGAAUACACAAGGACUGUCGCUGGCUAGGUUCAUUCUUAGCAUGUGCACGUCUACCACACUUUCCACACUUGUGCACCAAUUGUAGAUAACCCUUGAAAGAGGAUUCUAUGUCUUUUAUAAUCUCAUCUAAUGUAUGUCCUUAGAAUGUAACAAAAAAAUUUAUACAACUUUCAGCAACGGAUCUCUUGGUUCUCGCAUCGAUGAAGAACGCAGCGAAUUGCGAUAAGUAAUGUGAAUUGCAGAUUUUCAGUGAAUCAUCGAAUCUUUGAACGCACCUUGCGCUCCUUGGUAUUCCGAGGAGCAUGCCUGUUUGAGUGUCAUUAAAUUAUCAACCAUAGUCUUUAUUGGCUUUUGGCUUGGACUUGGGAUUUGCUGGCCUAGUCAGCUGUCCUUAAAAGCAUUAGCAAGUGAAGUAGACGGUGCACGGCCUCUGACGUGAUAAUGAUCGUCGUGGGCUGGAAGCGUCAUAAUGAAGCUUGCUUUAAUUUUGAAUUUGAAUUUGAAAUUCUAUUACCAUUUUGACCUCAAAUCAGGUAGGACUACCCGCUGAACUUAAGCAUAUCAAUAAGCGGAGGAA
rnacentral:rRNA from 1 species